rnacentral:rRNA from 1 species
ACGUGGAUAACCUACCUAUAAGACUGGGAUAACUUCGGGAAACCGGAGCUAAUACCGGAUAAUAUUUUGAACCGCAUGGUUCAAAAGUGAAAGACGGUCUUGCUGUCACUUAUAGAUGGAUCCGCGCUGCAUUAGCUAGUUGGUAAGGUAACGGCUUACCAAGGCAACGAUGCAUAGCCGACCUGAGAGGGUGAUCGGCCACACUGGAACUGAGACACGGUCCAGACUCCUACGGGAGGCAGCAGUAGGGAAUCUUCCGCAAUGGGCGAAAGCCUGACGGAGCAACGCCGCGUGAGUGAUGAAGGUCUUCGGAUCGUAAAACUCUGUUAUUAGGGAAGAACAUAUGUGUAAGUAACUGUGCACAUCUUGACGGUACCUAAUCAGAAAGCCACGGCUAGCUACGUGCCAGCAGCCGCGGUAAUACGUAGGUGGCAAGCGUUAUCCGGAAUUAUUGGGCGUAAAGCGCGCGUAGGCGGUUUUUUAAGUCUGAUGUGAAAGCCCACGGCUCAACCGUGGAGGGUCAUUGGAAACUGGAAAACUUGAGUGCAGAAGAGGAAAGUG